rnacentral:rRNA from 1 species
GACGAACGCUGGCGGCGUGCCUAAUACAUGCAAGUAGAACGCACAGUUUAUACUGUAUCUUUCUACACCAUAGACUGUGAGUUGCGAACGGAUGAGUAACUCGUAGGUAACCUGCCUGGUAGCGGGGGAUAACUAUUGGAAACGAUAGCUAAUACCGCAUAAUAUUAAUUAUUGCAUGAUAAUUAAUUGAAAGGUGCAAUUUCACCACUACCAGAUGGACCUGCGUUGUAUUAGCUAGUAGGUGAGGUAACGGUUCACCUAGGCGACGAUACAUAUCCGACCUGAGAGGGUGACCGGCCACACAGGGACUGAGACACCGCACAGACUCCUACGGGAGGCAGCAGUAGGGAAUGUUCGGCAAUGGACGAAAGUCUGACCGAGCAACGCCGCGUGAGUGAAGAAGGUUUUCGGAUCGUAAAGAUCUGUUGUAAGAGAAGAACGGGUGUGAGAGUGGAAAGUUCACACUGUGACGGUAUCUUACCAGAAAGGGACGGCUAACUACGUG